GCCCAUGAGUUUCCUUUCAAGUUAAAUUUUAUUUUCAACAUUUUAAUUGCAAAAUAUUUUUAGAUGAUUUGGUAAGGUUUAAGCUUGAUCGGGACAAGAAUUAAAAAAUCAAAACGAGAAAAGGACAUGAAUUGUUAAAGGUGAUGCGGAAAUCAAUUAUGGCCAUAAUUGAUUCAAUUAUGCCCAUGAUUGCUGACAAAAAUAAAAAAAAAACAGAGGAAACAAAUUUGGGUUGAGUUGGCAGAAAAAUACAUCUUUUUACAAAGGAGAAAGGGGCAGACUGAAGAUGACACCAAAAAUAGAAAAAUUUCAAAGGAAAACCACAAGAUCUAAGAGGAAGAUUCAAGAUUCAAGCUCAAGGAUCAAGUUAGAGAGGAUCUAGCCUAUCAAGCUUGAAGACCUAAAAGUAGGUUGUGGAGCAGCGAGGUGAUGAUGGGAAGCUAGCGAUCAGCUCAAGGUAGUGCAUGAGGCAAGGGCAUUUUGGUCAUUUUCCAUGAUGAGUUGUAUUUUAUGUAAUUGAGUUUAUGCAUGGUAUUUAUGAAUUCUAUUUUAUGAUUUUGAAUUUCAAACACUCAAAUUGGUGUUAUAAUUAUGUUGUUUGAUUACA